rnacentral:rRNA from 1 species
UACGAAGGGGGCUAGCGUUGCUCGGAAUCACUGGGCGUAAAGGGCGCGUAGGCGGCCAUUCAAGUCAGGGGUGAAAGCCUGUGGCUCAACCACAGAAUGGCCUUUGAUACUGUUUGGCUAGAGACCGGAAGAGGUAAGUGGAACUGCGAGUGUAGAGGUGAAAUUCGUAGAUAUUCGCAAGAACACCAGUGGCGAAGGCGGCUUACUGGUCCGGUUCUGACGCUGAGGCGCGAAAGCGUGGGGAGCAAACAGG